rnacentral:rRNA from 1 species
AUGGUCAUUGUGAAUAGCGAGGUCGAUAGCUAUAUAUUUGUCCCUGGCAAGAGGACCGAGUGUGGGCAGGUGGGCAUCGGCAAGACGGGUGAUACGUCCAUUUUGUAUCAUGCUUUUAUAUCAAUAUUUAUUACAUUGUGGGCUGUUAUUAUAUAUUAUAUCUCAAUACUUAUGGCCAUUUCCUCUUAUUUUACAAGGUUUACCAUGAAGAGGGGUAAUGCCGGCAGCUGGAAUUCUUGCUGGAAAAUGAGCAAACGUUGGAAACCUAUUUUGCACAGCUCCAAAAGUCCUGAAACUCCACGAAACAACUUUUUGGAUUUAAUAAGAAUUUCUGAGCAAAAGAAAUAG